UCUGGGUUUAUCCCAGCGGUCUCGUUAGAAAGGUGUAACUAACGACGAGGGUUGCGCUCGUUACGGGACUUAACCCAACAUCUCACGACACGAGCUGACGACAGCCAUGCAACACCUGAUGAAGGCUCCCCUUGCGGGGUCGUUACCGUUUCCGGUUCCUACCACCUCCACUUCAAGCCCGGGUAAGGUUCUUCGCGUUGCAUCGAAUUGAACCACAUGCUCCACCGCUUGUGCGAGCCCCCGUCAAUUCCUUUGAGUUUUAACCUUGCGGCCGUACUCCCCAGGCGGUCAACUUCACGCGUUAGCUUCGUUACCAAGGGAAUCAAUCCCCCGACAACCAGUUGACAUCGUUUAGGGCGUGGACUAC
rnacentral:misc_RNA from 1 species